rnacentral:rRNA from 1 species
UACGGAGGGUGCGAGCGUUGUCCGGAAUCACUGGGCGUAAAGGGCGCGUAGGUGGCGCGGGCAGUCAACGGUGAAAGUUCGGGGCUCAACCCUGAAUCGGCCGUCGAUACUCCCGGGCUUGAGCACUGUAGAGGCAGAUGGAAUUCCGGGUGUAGCGGUGGAAUGCGUAGAGAUCCGGAAGAACACCGGUGGCGAAGGCGGUCUGCUGGGCCAAGACUGACGCUGAGGAGCGAAAGCGUGGGGAGCGAACAGG